AGUACUGUGAUAGAUGGUGUCAUGGUGACUUCCGAUGAGCUCCAAUGUGUUGCAGAAAAAUGCAGCAGUUAGCAAUACUAUGUAACAUAUUGGGUGAGCUGCAGGUUUCACAUAUAUUCUUGGCACAGAAAGCUCUGAUGUACCGGUGUGGUGAUGGUUCUUCCACUGACCAAUCGGCAGGCUGGGAUCUGGCCAAUGACCAAGAGAAAAGUUAUGAGACUGGCUAUACCAUUUGUCAUGGGUGACUAAAUGGAUUUAUAAGUUCUUUAACAGGUACGCACACGAUGCAGAACAUCCGCCUUUAAACAAGAUACAGAACAAGCUGGCAUUCUAUGAACUGUUACAUCUAAAGUUAUUUCUAAUAUGCAAAUUAUAUUUUCAGAUUUUCUUCAUAAGCUUUUGUUUAUUACACCAUCCAUCUUCCGCUAAUGAGACGAAUGACAUAUUUAUAAGUCCAUUUACAUCUUGCCCAAGUACUUUCUCAACCAAAGCACGUUCUGCAUCAAUAAAUCACAAAAAAACACUGGUGUACUGUAAAUAUGGAGCAAAUAUUUUCUUAACUAACAUGACCUGAAUGUCACAGUAAAAUGGAGAACAUUUGCAUUUUAAUGUCAUUACUGACGUUUUAAUAUAUAAUACAUUGAAUUAAAAUGGUAAUAAAAAAACAUAUACGUGGGGAAGUGGUUUAAAAGUUUUUGCCCCAAGGUAUUUUGUAAUUCGUACAGCACAACAUUCCUGCAACUGUUACUGUUAACUUGCUCCCGAUCAUACAUCUUCAUUUAUACACACUAUAUGCAAUUAGAUUAAAAUAUACCUAUAGGUAAAAAACA